GCAUAAAUGAGAAUCUCUCUACGUUGUAAAUGUAGAGAGAGAGAGAGAGAGAGAGAGAGAGAGAGAGAGGAUACCGACAUGUAAUUUGUAGGCAUUCUUACGUGUCCAAGAAAAUGUACAAAAUGACCAAUCCAAAGCCAAGGAAAGAGAUCUAAAUAAAAAGUAUGUGGUCCUUGCUUUAAGAUACUCCUUAUAGAUUUCUUCACAUAUCUUCAACUUCGAAGCAAUUGCAACUCAAAAAAACACCCUCCACGUUAAUGUACCCUCUCCAAAAUAUUCACCUUCUAAAAAGAAUAAUCAUAUUUUUAUAUAUUCCAUCUCAUUUUCUCUUGCUUCCACAGCCCCAUUAUAUAUUUUCAUCCUCCAUUUUCAAGAAACUUAACACCCUAGACUACUCCCAUCUCAAAAUUGCAUCAAUCAACUAGUCUAACCCAAAAUAUGACAAA
rnacentral:lncRNA from 1 species